CAAACACAAAUCAGUUUAAGAGGCACCAAAUUAAGCAUUCCAAACUCCAAAAGUUGUUGUAAUUUGCAACAAAAGAGAAAGACUAAGGACAAAUUUCAGAUCUUGUAAAUCACAUUCUUCACUGUCACAGG